CGCACCUUGCGCCCUCUGGUAUUCCGGAGGGCAUGCCUGUUUGAGUGUCUUGAUAUCAUCAAACCCCUCGGGUUCGCGCCCGCUGCGGUUUGGAGUUGGGGGCUUGCUGCCGCGAGGCGGCUCCCCUUAAAAUCAUCGGUUUGGCCCGUAUCAUGCGGCUUGCACCUUUGGCGUUGUAUUCUCCUCGCCUUCGAUCGGUCUCGCUGGCUUCCGCGCCUCACCUCGACUUGCCCACUGGGUGGCGGUCAACUCUUGACAAUCUGGCCUCAAAUCAGGUAGGACUACCCGCUGAACUUAA
rnacentral:misc_RNA from 1 species